UACGAAGGGGGCUAGCGUUGCUCGGAAUUACUGGGCGUAAAGGGCGCGUAGGCGGAUACUUAAGUUAGAGGUGAAAGCCCAGGGCUCAACCCUGGAAUAGCCUUUAAUACUGGGUAUCUUGAGUUCGGGAGAGGUGAGUGGAACUCCGAGUGUAGAGGUGAAAUUCGUAGAUAUUCGCAAGAACACCAGUGGCGAAGGCGGCUUACUGGUCCGGUUCUGACGCUGAGGCGCGAAAGCGUGGGGAGCAAACAGG
rnacentral:rRNA from 1 species